rnacentral:lncRNA from 11 species
AUACUGAUCCUUUCCUCUUUUUCCGCCGUCCAGUUGGUUUCUUCGCUCGUUUCGAUCUUCUCCGCGUUUCGUUUCUUUUCUCAACCCUCUCGUACCAUCCGACCAAUAUCGAUCGCGCUAUCUUGCGAAUCACAAGUUUCGAGUUAUCCACGCUGACGAUUUCUAGUUUGCGUAGCUCGUAUGUAGGUGUAAUUUCUCUUUCUUAAACGGUAACACGUUUGGUAGUGGGACAAACGAAGUUCUGUAAGUGAAUCUUGCGAGUUACAAGCUCUAGUCGAUCGUUUUAUCAAACGUGGAAUUAUAAACUCUCGUAAAAGCUGGGUGUGCAACAAGAACCUAUAAAUCUACGGACUGUCACGACCGUUAAUUCAGCGAUAUCGUCAGGAAAUUGCGCCAAAAGGUCCCACCAGGUUUCUCCGCGUUUCUCUUCUCUGAUUUUCCUUUUGUAUCGUAGGAUCAUCGGACCGGAAACGGCGCGGUAAAAGUCGUGAAAACGAAAACGAAUUUACCGCGUGUUCGAGCGAAGCGGAAAAUUAAACGAUGUAGCGAAAUCCUGACGAACGCCGGACCUUGUACGACUAACUGGCAAAGUGUCACCGUACGCGACGAUCGUCCUGGUAUCGAGGUCCACUCGACGACUAUUAAGUAACAGGACGAGGUUUGAUCAGACGCGUGUGCGUGUAACACGUUAAAUAAGAAAAGGGGAAAGUAUCGAAGCACUCGAUCGUUCUGUAAAUCGCAUGUCGUCUCGCGAUAACGUUCGAUAUCCAAGAGAGAACGUAUCGCCGUGGCGGAGAUGCUAGUGAUAAAGAGAGCCGCGAAAAUGAAGGAUAGCCGAUGGUAACGUGAAAAUGUUCUGUUCACGAUUAGAUUGUUCGCCAAGCGUAUACACGCGAGUGUAUUAUGGUGUUGCGUACAACGCUUGUCGCACGCCUAACGCGGCAUUCAUGGAAUGUUGCAUGUAAUACCAGAUGUUUGCAAGGUUCCGAAGAGGUUCGCGGACGCGUGUUACAAUGUAACUAUUACGUAAUGGAAGGCUGAUGUUGUUUGAACACGGAGAACGGCAGCCAACACUCAGCAUUUAAUCUAAGUAUGUAUGUACUUAAGUACGUACGUCCACGACGCGCAAAAUUUCUGCAACCAGUCGCUUCGACACAACUCCGCGAGCAUGCGACGAUUGUAAAUUUGAUUUACUUUCACUGGGGAUCGCUCGCGACCUUUUUGUGCGUGGCUCGAUUGUUAAAAAUAUCAAAUGCAAGGGAAAAUACGGCAAUGGAACGUGGGUUGGACGUUGAUUAUAACGAAAGAAGAGAUUCAGGCUGUUACAGGUAACACAGCGGUACGGUAUGCAGCGGUUGACACGAAAGUUGGCCGUACGAGAAAUUCCUUUCGAAGACGCGCGCCUCGAUGGCAUUCAACCUUUGGAGAUAUUUAUUUUUGGAAACGCCUCGUGCUACUCGGUACCUCGAUUUAGAUAGCGUGGGAGGAGAAUUUGAUAUACGGCGAUUUAUUAAUUUCACGACGCUGACUAUGAACGUGUCGGACACCACGCAUACCGUCCGUUUAUUCCGCAAUGUUCGGAUCUCAAUUCCACAGAGAUAAUCCUGAAAGUAUCUGCAAAGGUGAGGGAAGGAGAUACCAUUAUCGAUGCAUACCGGCUCACCCAAUAAAACGUUGGUAGCUUACAGCCCUGGAUCGUCAUUCUGCACGUCCGUGGAUGAAACUCUUGGAGAAAAGCAAGAGAUGCUGCAGUUCACUCUACUUCUUUCUUCCUCUCUCGUCCAGUACGUUCUCUUUCUCCACUGACCAACAGCAACGGAAUAAAUAAAGUAAAUAGAGGAAUAUAGGAGGUAAAUAAAAAAUGUGGCAGCAGAGAA